rnacentral:rRNA from 1 species
CCUACGGGAGGCAGCAGUGAGGAAUAUUGGUCAAUGGUCGGGAGACUGAACCAGCCAAGCCGCGUGAGGGAGGAAGGUACAGAGUAUCGUAAACCUCUGUUGUCAGGGAACAAAGGCGGGGACGUGUCCCCGGAUGAGUGUACCUGAAGAAAAAGCAUCGGCUAACUCCGUGCCAGCAGCCGCGGUAAUACGGAGGAUGCGAGCGUUACCCGGAUUUAUUGGGUUUAAAGGGUGCGCAGGCGGUCUGUUAAGUGAGCGGUAAAAGCCCGGGGCUCAACCCCGGCCCGCCGUUGAAACUGGCAGUCUCGAGUUGGAGAGAAGUAUGCGGAAUGCGCGGUGUAGCGGUGAAAUGCAUAGAUAUCGCGCAGAACUCCGAUUGCGAAGGCAGCAUGCCGGCUCCACACUGACGCUGAGGCACGAAAGCGUGGGUAUCGAACAGGAUUAGAUACCCGAGUAGUC